CCUCCCAAAGUGCUGGGAUUGCAGGUGUGAGCCACUGCUCCCAGCAUGUUCUUCACAGCAUUAAGGUUCUUCAUAGCAUUAAGGUCUGAAAUUAUAUAUUUUUGUGAUUGUAAAAAAAAUACUAUUUCUCUGUACCUUACAUUAAGCUAGCUCCAGAGGCAGUGACAUUAUCUUUCCCCCACCCCUCAGCAUAUGGUGCAUAAAUAUGGUGCAUAGUAUUUCAAACCUACUUGUUUACAACUACCUGAAAAAAGAAAAAGAAAAUAAAUAAAUAAAUAAAUAAAUAAAACCUGCUUGCUAAUGAACACAUGAGGUAUUAUUGGUUGAAAGAUCAUUUUCAUAUGUAGUUAUAGAUUAUUCCCUUGCUGCAGUGAUGUGUCAAAUGGUAGACUUUUUUUUUUUUUUUUUCCUGAGACAGGCUCUCGCUGUAUCACCCAGGCUGGAGUGCAGUGGCGCCUCGGCUCACUGCAGCCUUGUUUUUUGGGGAUCAAGCAAUCCCGUGACCUCAGCCUCCUGAGUAGCUAGGACAAGAGGUACAUGUGCCACCACCUCUAGCUAAUUUUUGUAUUUUUUGUAGAGACAAGGGGUUCACCAUGUUGCUCACACUGGUCUCAAACUCUUGGACUCAAGCAAUUCUCCUGUCUUGGCCUCCCAAAGUUCUGGGAUUAACAGGCGUGAGCCACCAGUGCCCAGCUGGUAGUCUUAUACUCUGAAAAGUUUUUAGAAGGAUUACAGAAUGAAACACAUACUAUGCUUCUCAAAGGUGUGUGACUACUUAUUGUUUUAUUUUCAUUCCUCAGACCUCAAUACAUGACUUGGAGCUCUUCUCUCUUUAUAGUUUUCCUUUGGCUCCCACAUUUGGAAGAAUUUUGCUCUGAUUAUUCAACACCAGUUUUGGUUAAUUUUAAAAUUUAUUAAUGUGGUAACAACUGAAAUAUUAUGAACAUAUUAAUGAAUAAACAAAAUAAGGUACGUGCAUACAAUGGAAUAUUAUUCAGUGUUAAGAAGAUAGAAAAUUCUGAUACAUGCUACAGUAUGGAUGAACCUUGAAAACGUUAUGCUAAAUGAAGUAAUCAGACCCAAAAGUACAAUUAUAUUACUCCACUUACAUGAAAUACCUAGAAUAGGUAAGUUCGUAGAUAGUGAGUGACUAUUGAAUGAGUACAGAAUUUCUGUUAGAGACGUAGACAAGUUCUGAAAAUGGAUGAUGGUGACAACAUUGUCAAUGUACUUAAUGCUACUGAUUAAAAAUGGUUAAAAUGGUAACUUUUAUGUUAUGUGGGUUUUGCUGCAAUCAACCAAUAAAAUGUUUAAAAAGAAGUGGUUAGCUCCUAGCUGAGAAAGAUUCAGGUACUAACCCCUUUAAGAAGUUAGGUGGUAAGAUUGACAAUCAUUUAUCCAAAGUAUGGAAUCCUGAGAAUUAAUUAGAAACAUGAAUUACUUUUUU